UUCUCCCUUUUACUGGUUCCCUCUCUCUAUCUCUCCUCAAUUUCCUUUUCCCCUAAAUGAUUUUACCUAGAGACCAAAAAAUUAAAAACAUUGGUUAGUUUUUAGGUUCUGAUUCUAGCCUUAUCGCACGUCACCGUCUACCACCGCCAGCCCACCGUUGCUGAGGCCCAAAUUAUGCCAGUGGCUUCUUCUUGAUGUCUUCUUGUCUUAAUGCGGUCAAUCUUUCGUGAAAGUGCCUUUAACUUUAUAGCUUAGGUCUUGAAAAUUGUGAAGAACCUUAAAAUCUUCUAUUCUGCUGCUCCUAUUGCUGCCAUCCCCAGAUAUGUUCUUCACCUUGUAUUGGAAAUGGCUGUUCAAUGAGGGGUUUAGGAUGAGGGUAGUGACAAGAUUGGUCGUCGGACGAUGGAGCGAGAUUCUCUUUUUUAGGCUACAGGGUUGCAGUCAGAACGAUGGUCACUUCUGAUUGUUUGUUGUAAUUGAAUUUGGGUUUGUGGUUGGGUGUGCCGUGCACCACCUUGGUUCCAACAUGGUGGACUUAUGGAGGGUGAGAUGAUUUUGCUUUGCUUUUUAUUUUUUGUUUCCUAGAGUCUUCUGGGUAAUUGCUGGGUGUUAUGGAUUUUCUUUUUGGCUGGGUGUUUGGUGGCUGUGUGACUCUUGCUGAUAGAAUUAGGAUUGAAUGGAAUCAGACAAAAGAGGCUUUUCUGUACGUGGUGUUGUUUAGGGUAUCUUAUAGGAGUUGUUGAUGCAGUGGGAUGUUUUCUGGCUGGCUAGCAAUGGCAACAUGGUGAAGGUGGAGAUGGCAAUGUGGAUGUGACAGUGUGUUAAGAAUGGUGAUGAAGCUUUGCUCGAUUUUCCUUUGUGUUUCUUGUGGCUAUCGGUGUGUGGCUUUGGGGUUCGAUUGUGGGUUGAUGGUAGACUAGGGCUGGACAACUAUGGAAGGAGUAUUCUGCUGGCAAUAGGUUUUCUAGGAUCUUAUUGACGUUCCUAGGAAUUACUCGAUUUUCUUCCUUUUUGUUAUUGCCCCCCAUGCAGUGUAAUGGUUAUUGUUUAAUAGGGACUCAGUCCCUAUAAAAUGCAAGAUCAAACUAUUAUCUGGUUGAAUAAUAUUUUCCGUUUAUCUCUUUUAAUUUCAAUUUUAAACUCAACCAGCUUAUCCUC